rnacentral:lncRNA from 1 species
CUGGGGUGGCACCUGGCACAACAGUUGCUCCUGGAAGUUUCAGCACAGGUAAGUACACAAUUUGGCACAGAGCCAUUUCUUGGAUGCUUUCUACAAUAAUGUGUCUUUCCUUUUGCUGCCUCUGUGCAAAAGUGGACCAUUCCCUUUCUAAAUCCCAGAAUGUUUUCCAUACUUUUUUCACUCUCUCAGCAGCUACAACUUCUCCGGGAGCAAGCAGAGUGACUGGCACUGGACCCACUGCAGAGACCACAAUUUUCCUAGGAGGAAGUAGCACCACUGGAGCAGAAAUAAAAUCAGGUGAAGAUUAUGGGGGUUUCAUUAUUUACUGUUGUAUUUUGAUAAAUUUGUUAGAGGAAACAUUUUUUUCAAUGAACUUAUUUUGGAAUAAUUGUAAAUUAUAGAAGG